AUAUAUAUAUAUAUACAUAUAUAUACAAAAGGAAGCAGGAAACAUAUAUAUAUAAUUAAAUAAAACGUAAUAUAAAGUCGCGUUCGUCAAGUGGCCGCAUGGUGGCGCACAUUGACGUAAGGCAACGUACAUCGGUGAUCAUAUGACACACCCAUUUCAUUUUAUGUUGUCAGCUGUCAUACACAAAUAUCCUACCACCUUGUACUUGUUAAAAACAACACAAAGUGUAGUGUAGUAAUAUAAAGGUAACAGAUACAACACGACGUACGCGUCCUUUAGUUCACGGAGCGCCACUAUACGGCCGCUCUAGGAACUUGACUUUAUAUAAUAUUCUAGUUUCAACUUUAUAUAUAUACCACUGCUGUUUCUUAUAUGUAUAAUCAAUUAUAUGUUUAAAUAUACAAAGAAAAUUUACAUAUAUCUAAUGGAAUUUUAUACAUAUCUGCUUAAAUGUUUUAUAUUUCUCAAAUAUUGAUAUAUAUUUCACAGGUUUUAUUUUGACACAAAUGGCGCCUCAUACGUACGCUCUGUUCUUAUACAAGUAUAUGGAAUGUAUUUCGUGACAAAUAAUAAAUAUGAUAUGAUAUGAACCGGAGGACCAGGAAAACAUGAACUCAAGAAGAACAAUUAUUCAUUUAAACGCUAUUUAUUUUUAGGCCGAUAAUGCCGUUUCCUAUAUGUGUGGUAAAAACUUAACCUCAAAUAGUUGUUUACUUUAGUCAUCAUUAAAGUGAACGUUUCUUUGUAAUUCUUCUUGCUCUUACAACCUUAAAAUACAGAAAUGGGAUUUCAAUUGAAAGUUUCAUUCAAGGAAUCGUCGCAAAAAAUGGAACUUAUCGCUCUGGUCCAGCCGAUCGAUUGGAAGGCAGGUGGUUCUCGACCCAUGAGAGGAGAAAACGGUUUGGGAUGUAAAACUAGGUCUUGGCAUUACAUUAUCAGAGUGAGAGUCUUGGGUCACGUUUCGAAUUGCAAUUGAAGGUAAAGCGAAUCCAUUACGAGAAGUGUCACAAGAACCUUAAGGCAAAUACUAACAGAAUGUUCUCUUGAAAAGCGAACACAUUCUGGAAGACUGUUUAAAUUUGCUUAUAAAUCCGUAGCAGAUAAUCAGCAUGACAUCUCAUUCAUCACAAAAUGCAAACGAACAUUAGUACAUUGUGGAGUAUCACUUGUUAAACGAUUGCUAUGUUUGCUUAUCUGCUGUAUAAGUUAGGUAUGCUUCUUGAGAGAUGUAUUUAUUUUCUUAAAUAUAAAUUUUAUAUCAUU